GGGCUUGCUUCAGCAAGUACAUAUACUAAAACUGGAACAAUACAGAGAAGAUCAGCAUGGACCCUAUGCAAGGCUAAUAUGCAAAUUUGUAAAGUGUUCCACAUUUUA
rnacentral:snRNA from 14 species